rnacentral:piRNA from 1 species
UCUUGAAUCUAGGAUUAAUCGAGUCAUUA